rnacentral:rRNA from 1 species
GAUGAACGCUGACAGAAUGCUUAACACAUGCAAGUCUUUGGCGAAGCUGUGCUUGCACAGCCUAGCCAAGGCGGACGGGUGAGUAACGCGUAAGGAACUUGCCCUGCAGUCAGGGAUAACAGACGGAAACGACUGAUAAGACCUGGUAAAGUCAGGCGGACUCAUGUCCAGCCUGAUGAAAAGUGAUGCUGCAGGAGAGCCUUGCGUCCUAUUAGCCUGUUGGUGGGGUAACGGCCCACCAAGGCGAUGAUAGGUAGCCGGCCUGAGAGGGUGGACGGCCACAAGGGGACUGAGAUACGGCCCUUACUCCUACGGGAGGCAGCAGUGGGGAAUAUUGGACAAUGGGGGCAACCCUGAUCCAGCAAUUCUGUGUGAACGAUGAAGGUUUUCGGAUUGUAAAGUGCUUUCAGCAGGGAAGAAAAAAAUGACGGUACCUGCAGAAGAAGCAACGGCUAAAUACGUG